rnacentral:tRNA from 1 species
GAAGCGCUUCCUAGGCUGGUGCCGGGCCUGGACUUCAAAUCCAGAGGAGGCUGUGGCAACACGGGCUCGGGGGGUUCGAUUCCCCUGCGCUUCC